rnacentral:sRNA from 1 species
UGACCGCCCUUCCCACCCGGAAGGUGCCAAGGCCAUACGGACAGCCGGGUCAAAUGCCG